GUCCCUGUAGCGCAAUGGGUAGCGCGUUGGACUUCUAAUUCAAAGGUUGUGGGUUCAACCCGGACUCCCACCCGAGACG